GUCUACGGCCACACCACCCUGAAUGGGCCUGAUCUUGUCUGAUCUUGGAAGCUAGGCAGGGUUUUGGCUGAUUAGUACUUGGAUAGGAGAAUGAAGCAAUAUCAUUUCUUAGUAA
rnacentral:rRNA from 1 species